AGACGUAGGGGGCGAGCGUUGUCCGGAAUUACUGGGCGUAAAGAGCACGUAGGCGGGUAAUUAAGUCAGAUGUGAAAGACCAGGGCCCAACCCUGGGGUUGCAUCUGAAACUGGUUAUCUUGAGGGCAGGAGAGGGCAGUGGAAUUCCUGGUGUAGCGGUGAAAUGCGUAGAAAUCAGGAGGAACACCAGUGGCGAAGGCGGCUGCCUGGACUGACCCUGACGCUGAGGUGCGAAAGCGUGGGUAGCAAACAGGAUUAGAUACCCUGGUAGUCCACGCUGUAAACGAUGGAUACUAGGUGUGGGAGGUAUCGACCCCUUCCGUGCCGCAGCUAACGCAAUAAGUAUCCCGCCUGGGGAGUACGGUCGCAAGGCUGAGACUUAAAGGAAUUGACGGGG
rnacentral:rRNA from 1 species